GAGAGAUGGCUUUGGAAUGACACGAUCACUCCCGCUGAGCCAGCAGCCAGAGAGCCAUCGGGGAUGUCGUGUCUUUCCAAAGCUCUUUC
ensembl:miRNA